rnacentral:lncRNA from 1 species
GUGCCUGCGAUCUUCGGUGUCUUCAGUAUAUUUAUCCAAACUAUAUAGACAUCAAAAAAAAUUAAUAAAAAUAUAAUUAAAUUAUAAAUAUUUUAUCAAAAAAUAAAAAAAUAUAGCGGUAAAAUAUUUUGAAUAUAAUUUUUUCAAUCGGCGGCAUUGUUGAUGACUCCAUGUAUAAUAAAAAUUAUUUAUAUUUAUUCUUUCGAAAUAUAAUUUUUAAUAUUUUUUUAAAAAAAUCUAUAUUAAAAAAAUUAAUUAAAUUAAUUUAUAUACUUAUAAUAAAUAAUUGAAUUAGCAUCAUAAUAGCGC